rnacentral:rRNA from 1 species
CCUACGGGAGGCAGCAGUGGGGAAUAUUGCGCAAUGGGCGAAAGCCUGACGCAGCGACGCCGCGUGAGGGAUGAAGGUCUUCGGAUCGUAAACCUCUGUCAGCAGGGAAGAACGGUCACUGUGCUAAUCAGCAGUGAAUUGACGGUACCUGCAAAGGAAGCACCGGCUAACUCCGUGCCAGCAGCCGCGGUAAUACGUAGGGGGCGAGCGUUAAUCGGAAUUACUGGGCGUAAAGCGAUCGUAGGCGGUAUGUCAAGUCAAGGGUGAAAUCCCCGGGCUCAACGUGGGAACUGCCUUUGAAACUGGAAGACUGGAGUGUGUGAGAGGAUAGUGGAAUUCCUGGUGUAGGAGUGAAAUGCGUAGAUAUUUGGAGGAACAUCAGUGGCGAAGGCGACUAGCUGGCACAUGACUGACGCUGAGGAGCGAAAGCGUGGGUAGCAAACAGGAUUAGAUACCCCUGUAGUC